rnacentral:rRNA from 1 species
UACGUAGGGAGCAAGCGUUGUCCGGAAUCAUUGGGCGUAAAGCGCGCGUAGGUGGCCUCAUAAGUCCGCUGUGAAAGUCAAAGGCUCAACCUUUGAAAGCCGGUGGAUACUGUGAGGCUAGAGUACGGAAGAGGCGAGUGGAAUUCCUGGUGUAGCGGUGGAAUGCGCAGAUAUCAGGAGGAACACCAAUAGCGAAGGCAGCUCGCUGGGACGUUACUGACACUGAGGCGACGAAAGGCGUGGGGAGCAAA